rnacentral:rRNA from 1 species
GAGGUUAAGCGACUAAGCGUACACGGUGGAUGCCCUGGCAGUCAGAGGCGAUGAAGGACGUGCUAAUCUGCGAUAAGCGUCGGUGAGGUGAUAUGAACCGUUAUAACCGGCGAUUUCCGAAUGGGGAAACCCAGUGUGUUUCGACACACUAUCAUUAACUGAAUCCAUAGGUUAAUGAGGCGAACCGGGGGAACUGAAACAUCUAAGUACCCCGAGGAAAAGAAAUCAACCGAGAUUCCCCCAGUAGCGGCGAGCGAACGGGGAGGAGCCCAGAGCCUGAAUCAGUGUGUGUGUUAGUGGAAGCGUCUGGAAAGGCGUGCGAUACAGGGUGACAGCCCCGUACACAAAAAUGCACAUAUUGUGAGCUCGAUGAGUAGGGCGGGACACGUGGUAUCCUGUCUGAAUAUGGGGGGACCAUCCUCCAAGGCUAAAUACUCCUGACUGACCGAUAGUGAACCAGUACCGUGAGGGAAAGGCGAAAAGAACCCCGGCGAGGGGAGUGAAAAAGAACCUGAAACCGUGUACGUACAAGCAGUGGGAGCCUCUUAAUGGGGUGACUGCGUACCUUUUGUAUAAUGGGUCAGCGACUUAUAUUCUGUAGCAAGGUUAACCGAAUAGGGGAGCCGAAGGGAAACCGAGUCUUAACUGGGCGUUAAGUUGCAGGGUAUAGACCCGAAACCCGGUGAUCUAGCCAUGGGCAGGUUGAAGGUUGGGUAACACUAACUGGAGGACCGAACCGACUAAUGUUGAAAAAUUAGCGGAUGACUUGUGGCUGGGGGUGAAAGGCCAAUCAAACCGGGAGAUAGCUGGUUCUCCCCGAAAGCUAUUUAGGUAGCGCCUCGUGAAUUCAUCUCCGGGGGUAGAGCACUGUUUCGGCAAGGGGGUCAUCCCGACUUACCAACCCGAUGCAAACUGCGAAUACCGGAGAAUGUUAUCACGGGAGACACACGGCGGGUGCUAACGUCCGUCGUGAAGAGGGAAACAACCCAGACCGCCAGCUAAGGUCCCAAAGUCAUGGUUAAGUGGGAAACGAUGUGGGAAGGCCCAGACAGCCAGGAUGUUGGCUUAGAAGCAGCCAUCAUUUAAAGAAAGCGUAAUAGCUCACUGGUCGAGUCGGCCUGCGCGGAAGAUGUAACGGGGCUAAACCAUGCACCGAAGCUGCGGCAGCGACACUAUGUGUUGUUGGGUAGGGGAGCGUUCUGUAAGCCUGUGAAGGUGGCCUGUGAGGGUUGCUGGAGGUAUCAGAAGUGCGAAUGCUGACAUAAGUAACGAUAAAGCGGGUGAAAAGCCCGCUCGCCGGAAGACCAAGGGUUCCUGUCCAACGUUAAUCGGGGCAGGGUGAGUCGACCCCUAAGGCGAGGCCGAAAGGCGUAGUCGAUGGGAAACAGGUUAAUAUUCCUGUACUUGGUGUUACUGCGAAGGGGGGACGGAGAAGGCUAUGUUGGCCGGGCGACGGUUGUCCCGGUUUAAGCGUGUAGGCUGGUUUUCCAGGCAAAUCCGGAAAACCAAGGCUGAGGCGUGAUGACGAGGCACUACGGUGCUGAA